GGUAAAGUGGCUGAGUAUAGGCGAUAAAUUGUAAAUUUAUUUAGGUGAAUAAUCCACCUUUAUCA
rnacentral:tRNA from 1 species